rnacentral:rRNA from 1 species
UGACGGUACCUGACUAAGAAGCACCGGCUAAAUACGUGCCAGCAGCCGCGGUAAUACGUAUGGUGCAAGCGUUAUCCGGAUUUACUGGGUGUAAAGGGAGCGCAGGCGGCGCGGCAAGUCUGAAGUGAAAUCCCGGGGCUCAACCCCGGAACUGCUUUGGAAACUGUCGUGCUAGAGUGUCGGAGGGGUAAGCGGAAUUCCUAGUGUAGCGGUGAAAUGCGUAGAUAUUAGGAGGAACACCAGUGGCGAAGGCGGCUUACUGGACGAUAACUGACGCUGAGGCUCGAAAGCGUGGGGAGCAAACAGGAUUAGAUACCCUG